rnacentral:rRNA from 1 species
GACGAACGCUGGCGGCGUGCUUAACACAUGCAAGUCGAACGGAAAGGCCCUGCUUUUGUGGGGUGCUCGAGUGGCGAACGGGUGUGUAACACGUGUGUAACCUGCCCUUGACUUUGGGAUAACUUCAGGAAACUGGGGCUAAUACCGGAUAGGAGCUCCUGCUGCAUGGUGGGGGUUGGAAAGUUUCGGCGGUUGGGGAUGGACUCGCGGCUUAUCAGCUUGUUGGUGGGGUAGUGGCUUACCAAGGCUGUGACGGGUAGCCGGCCUGAGAGGGUGACCGGCCACAUUGGGACUGAGAUACGGCCCAGACUCCUACGGGAGGCAGCAGUGGGGAAUAUUGCACAAUGGGCGGAAGCCUGAUGCAGCAACGCCGCGUGCGGGAUGACGGCCUUCGGGUUGUAAACCGCUUUCGCCUGUGACGAAGCGUGAGUGACGGUAAUGGGUAAAGAAGCACCGGCUAACUACGUG